rnacentral:rRNA from 1 species
UGAAUACGAGACGCUAAGGCGUCGAAGUAGUGUAUGUCAUACUUCCAAGAAAAGCUUGCACUGUCAUAAGUAAAAAAUGCCUGUACCAUAACCGACACAGGUGGGUAGGUAGAGUAUACUAAGGGGCGCGAGAUAACUCUCUCUAAGGAACUCGGCAAAAUAACUCCGUAACUUCGGGAGAAGGAGUACCUUAUUCUAUAAGGUUGCAAUAACAAGAUCCAAGCAACUGUUUAUCAAAAACACAGGUCUCCGCUAAGUCGUAAGACGAUGUAUGGGGGCUGACGCCUGCCCAGUGCCAGAAGGUUAAAGAAGUCGGUUAGCAUUAGCGAAGCUGGUAACUGAAGCCCUGGUGAACGGCGGCCGUAACAAUAACGGUCCUAAGGUAGCGAAAUUCCUUGUCGGGUAAGUUCCGACCCGCACGAAAGGCGUAAUGAUUUGGAUACUGUCUCGGAGAGGGGCUCGGUGAAAUAGACUUGUCUGUGAAGAUGCGGACUACCUGCACCAGGACAGAAAGACCCUAUGAAGCUUUACUGUAACUUGAAAUUGAAAUUGGACUUUAUUCGCGCAGUAUAGGUGGGAGGUGUUGAUUAUAAUCUUGCGGGAUUAUUGGAGCCAUCAGUGAGAUACCACUCUUGUAAUGUUAGAUUUCUAACUUUGAAUCAUUAUCUGGUCAAAGGACAGUUUCAGGCGGGCAGUUUGACUGGGGCGGUCGCCUCCCAAACGGUAACGGAGGCGUACAAAGGUUUCCUCUGAACGGGUAGAAGUCGUAUCUAGAGUGUAAAGGCAUAAGGAAGCUUGACUGUGAGACCUACAAGUCGAACAGGGACGAAAGUCGGUCUUAGUGAUCUGACGGUACUGAGUGGAAAGGCCGUCACUCAACGGAUAAAAGUUACUCUAGGAUAACAGGCUGAUCUCCCCCAAGAGUUCACAUCGACGGGGAGGUUUGGCACCUCGAUGUCGGCUCAUCGCAUCCUGGGGCGGUAGUACGUCCCAAGGGUUGGGCUGUUCGCCCAUGAAAGCGGUACGCGAGCUGGGUUCAGAACGUCGUGAGACAGUUCGGUCCAUAUCCGGUGUAGGCGUUAGAAUAUUGAGAGGAGCCUUCUUUAGUACGAGAGGACCGAGAAGGACAUACCUCUGGUGUACCAGUUAUCGUGCCAACGGUAAACGCUGGGUAGCUAUGUAUGGAGUGGAUAACCGCUGAAAGCAUCUAAGUGGGAAGCCCCCCUCAAGAUAAG